rnacentral:rRNA from 1 species
UACGGGGGGGGGCAAGCGUUGUUCGGAAUUACUGGGCGUAAAGGGCUCGUAGGCGGCCAACUAAGUCGGAUGUGAAAUCCCCAGGCUCAACUUGGGAACUGCAUCCGAUACUGGAUGGCUUGAAUUCGGGAGAGGGAUGCAGAAUUCCAGGUGUAGCGGUGAAAAUGCGUAGAUAUCUGGAGGAAUACCGGUGGCGAAGGCGGCAUCCUGGACCGACAUUGACGCUGAGGAGCGAAAAGCUGAGGGG